ACAUAUAGAAAAGAUAACUCUGUUCCACAGAGUAGCUGUUAACAUUAUAGUUGUGCAGGCACUUUGUUGACUCUAGAGAACCUUGGGCCAAUUGCACAUCCCCGUGGCGGCGACUUUGCAUGCGGAUGUCAUCCAUAUCAACUUUCGAUGCCAGUUUCUGCGCCUACCAUGGUGACCAUGGGUAACGGGGAAUCAGAGUUCCAUUCCGCAAAGGGAUCCUUAGAAACGGCUACCACAUGCAAGGAAGGCAGCAAAUGACCCACUUCCAACACGGGAAGGUAGUGAU